rnacentral:tRNA from 1 species
AGCUGUAUUAGCUAGCAAGGAUAUGGCGGCAGCCUCCUAAGCUGUAAGCCGGGGGUUCGAAUCCCUCCACGCCCG